ACACGGUACAUAUUUCAUACGUUUAUUGUAGUCCUUCUUACCCAUGCCUUUAUGUACGUUUAUCGUUAGAAGAUUUUUUGCCUUUUACUAAAUAUUUUAUCUUUCUAAAGUACAUGUAGUACAAAAACCACCAUAAAACUGUAAACAUUAAAAUUGCUAGGUUUUAUUGUACACUAUUUGAUUAAAUAUAUGCAUAAGAAGCCGAUAUGAUAAGGAAAAAGGUUUGUGAGAGAAACGUAUAUGUCUGCUGUUCGUGCAAACAGAUAAACGACAAUGUGAAAAUAAUAUUCUGUUGUUAUAGAAAAAGCAAAACAGAAUGAUACAGAGCAUAAUCGACAAAGGGAUACACUUAAUAUAAUUGAAUAUGAAAACAUGCCAUAUGUCUUAAUGUAGUAGAUACAGAUGCAUAUGACUAAUACUCGAAUUUUGAAAACCAUAAUAUAUUAUCAAAAGACUAGCACACUAUUGUAAUGUUACACGAUAACGCCAAAAAAUACCUUUAUAUUUUUAAAAUAUCUUAUUAAAUAUACUUAUUUUUUCAGCAUAUUUCAAGACAUUGAAUAAAGUUAUACAGAUUCAGCAUUUAUAUAAUGGCAGAAUUAACCGAAGUAUGACCGAAGGGUUAUUCAACAUCAGAAGAGAGAAUCGGCCCAGCCUGUUUUGGUUCAAAUAGAAGAAAAUAGUCUCAGGGAAUAGUACAUAUGUGUUAUAUAAAAUGUAUAAGUGUGUGUACUAAAACAACGUAAUAUAACACUAAAUGACAGUGAUGAUUCGAAUUAAAAAGCAAAACAUUACAAACAAUGGCUAUUGAAACUUCAAGGAAGAAGUAAUCGAGAGGUAAUCGAGUGAUGCUUGGAAAUUUGUUAAUUAAUCAGCCUUAAGAAGAAAGAAACAGUGAUUUGACAUUAAACAAUCAAGAAGAUGAUACUGGAUAUUAAAAUAAAAAGGCGUCAAAUAAGGAGUAACCAUAAAAUACGGAUACAACGGAUAAAAGACAAGUGAUGCAUUGGAACAAACGCGAACAAUUUUGAAUGCGCGCUGAAGACAUCAGGCAUAAACAUUUAACUUUGAAUUGCUGAAGUGAUUUUGGUAUUCCCAAUAGCCUUCGAUCUGAAGGUAACACUGUUCUAAAAAUAGAUUUUACCUUAUCACCACUACAUCACCUGAACUGACUUUCGGACAAGGGAUUAGGGAGUUCACACUAUACAUGAUGUUAAUCAGCGUAUAUUUACUUUGUUUACAUGCAAUAUUAUAAGAAAUUGUAGAAUGCAAACAAGUUGGAAAUGGAAUUUAGUGUGAAAAGAAAAGGGACAACUACACAGUGUACUUUUGAAAAGUUAAAUUUAAACAUAUGUCACAAUCUGCUCUGGCCUCUAUAUUUGUCAAUAAAAAGGUUUUUGUCAUUCAGGCAGAAAAAAAAGUUUGACUCUUUUGAUUGAUGAGGCGAAGUUUACA